ACUACGGGGUGCAGCAGUGAGGAAUAUUGGUCAAUGGGCGCGAGCCUGAACCAGCCAAGUAGCGUGAAGGAUGACUGCCCUACGGGUUGUAAACUUCUUUUAUAAAGGAAUAAAGUGAGGCACGUGUGCCUUUUUGUAUGUACUUUAUGAAUAAGGAUCGGCUAACUCCGUGCCAGCAGCCGCGGUAAUACGGAGGAUCCGAGCGUUAUCCGGAUUUAUUGGGUUGAAAGGGAGCGUAGAUGGGUUGGUAAGUCAGUUGUGAAAGUUUGCGGCUCAACCGUAAAAUUGCAAUUGAUACUGGCAGCCUUGAGUACAGUUGAGGUAGGCGGAAUUCGUGGUGUAGCGGUGAAAUGCGUAGAUAGCACGAAGAACUCCGAUUGCGAAGGCAGCUUACUAAACUGCCACUGACAUUGAUGCUCGAAAGUGUGGGUAACAAACAGGAUUAGAUACCCUAGUAGUC
rnacentral:rRNA from 1 species